UACGUAGGGUGCGAGCGUUGUCCGGAAUUAUUGGGCGUAAAGGGCUCGUAGGCGGUUUGUCGCGUCGGGAGUGAAAACCAGGUGCUUAACACCUGGCUUGCUUUCGAUACGGGCAGACUAGAGGUAUGCAGGGGAGAACGGAAUUCCUGGUGUAGCGGUGAAAUGCGCAGAUAUCAGGAGGAACACCGGUGGCGAAGGCGGUGCUCUGGGCCGGAACUGACGCUGAGGAGCGAAAGCGUGGGGAGCGAACAGG
rnacentral:rRNA from 1 species